UACGUAGGUGGCAAGCGUUGUCCGGAUUUACUGGGCGUAAAGAGCGCGCAGGCGGUCGUUCAAGUCGCGUGUGAAAGCCCCCGGCUCAACUGGGGAGGGUCACGCGAUACUGAUCGACUCGAAGGCAGGAGAGGGAAGUGGAAUUCCCGGUGUAGUGGUGAAAUGCGUAGAUAUUCGCAAGAACACCAGUGGCGAAGGCGGCUCACUGGCCCGGUACUGACGCUGAGGUGCGAAAGCGUGGGGAGCAAACAGG
rnacentral:rRNA from 1 species